UAGAUUGUACUGUGGCAGUGCCGGGUGGUACUGUGGUUGGGGCAUAGGAUCAUACUAUAGUGAUGCCGGGUGGUACUGUGGAGGAGUAGGGUUGUAUCGGGGUGGCUCGGGAUCCUCUCGUUGCAGGGGUGGCUCAACUUGUGGUAGUGGAGGAGGGUCAGGUAGCUCCAUCCUUUCCUCCCGGCUCUCCUGGGCAGCAAUGAGUCUCUCCAGCAUCUCAAAUAUCCGAUCAACAUCUUCUCUAAGCAGGCCAUUCUGGGCUGCUCAGUUUAGUGGGGUUCUUCCCUUCCUCAUCUAUCUGUACCUACAUUUCACAAGGAGUUGUUGAGUGAUAAUCUAUUGUUUUAGUGUUCCCUAAGAAUUUUGUGUAAGGAAU
rnacentral:lncRNA from 1 species